CAGCCGCCGCGGUAAUACCGGCGGCCCGAGUGGCGGUCACUCUUAUUGGGCUUAAAGCGUCCGUAGCCGGGUUGGGAAGGCCUCCGGGAAAUCUGGCCGCUUAACGGUCAGAAUGCCGGAGGAUACUCCCAGCCUAGGGAGCGGGAGAGGCCGAGGGUAUUCCCGGGGUAGGGGUGAAAUCCUAUAAUCCCGGGAGGACCACCUGUGGCGAAGGCGCUCGGCUGGAACGCGUCCGACGGUGAGGGACGAAGGCCAGGGGAGCAAACCGGAUUAGAUACCCGGGUAGUCCUGGCUGUAAACGAUGCGGACUUUGUGUCGGACAAGCUAUGAGCUUGUCCGGUGCCGGAGGGAAACCGUUAAGUCCGCCGCCUGGGGAGUACGGCCGCAAGGCUGAAACUUAAAGGAAUUGGCGGG
rnacentral:rRNA from 1 species